GGAGGGGUCGCAUAGUGGACUAGUGCGGUCGUCUUGAAAACGACUAAGGGUUUACGCCCUUCGAGAGUUCGAAUCUCUCCCCCUCCGCCA
rnacentral:tRNA from 1 species